rnacentral:rRNA from 1 species
ACCAGACUCCUACGGGAGGCAGCAGUGGGGAAUAUUGCACAAUGGGGGAAACCCUGAUGCAGCGACGCCGCGUGAGUGAAGAAGUAUUUCGGUAUGUAAAGCUCUAUCAGCAGGGAAGAUAAUGACGGUACCUGAGUAAGAAGCCCCGGCUAACUACGUGCCAGCAGCCGCGGUAAUACGUAGGGGGCAAGCGUUAUCCGGAUUUACUGGGUGUAAAGGGAGCGUAGACGGCAUGGCAAGUCUGAAGUGAAAGCCCCGGGCUCAACCGCGGGACUGCUUUGGAAACUGUUAAGCUGGAGUGCAGGAGAGGUAAGUGGAAUUCCUAGCGUAGCGGUGAAAUGCGUAGAUAUUAGGAGGAACACCAGUGGCGAAGGCGGCUUACUGGACUGUAACUGACGUUGAGGCUCGAAAGCGUGGGGAGCAAACAGGAUUAGAUACCCCCGUAGA